UGUCAUGGUUGGGUGUACAGAUUGUUAGUUUGACAUGGUCAGUACCAAAUCGUGCAAAUUGUAGUGCGAUUUUUUACAGAGCAAAUGUUUUUGUUCAAACAGUUUGGAUCCUUUGGCCCAAUGGCGUAAUCGUGUUCGAGUCCCUGCUGUUUUAAUGUCUGCUAGCUUGACAAAAGAAACUUGUUUACAGCUUUCAUUGCCAAAGGACAUGUAUGUUUGCGCAAUCUAUAAUACCUAAAUAGUUCAUCCCCACUAUCCUAUUUCUCUUGACAUGCAGCCUAUCCACGUCAGCAACUUGCCACAUCAUCAAUUAUUUUCUCAUUUAGCUAAUUUUAUUAGCAUCUAGACUUGCAUGUGGUCGCUCUGUUUCCAGUCCUGAAUUACCACCGAAGCUCAGUGGUGUCCAACCGCAAACAGAAGCCCAAUCGUCCUGCCACCAGCAUCCUUUCCGUUUCCCCUCUCUCUCCGUAAAUAAAGGACCAAUCUUCUUCCUUGGCAAUAGUAUGGAGUGUGGUGGAUAGGAAGCAAUCUCUUUGUGUGGUCCGCCCCUCUGGCAGGUCGCUGGUCCGCGGCACCUACCCUCCUCUUCCGACUCUACCGGCGGUGCCCACCACCUCCCCGAUCUCUGUGUAUGGUCCGCCCCUCUGGCACGGUCGCCGGUCCGCGGCACCUCCGCCGCCUCCCCUCGAUCUCUGCGUGUGGUCAGCCCCUUUGGCACGGUCGUCUGUCCACGACACGUCCUCUUCUCCUCCGCCUCUGCCGCUGCUGCGCGCUGCCUUCCCUCCUCCUCCGCCCCUGCAACUGUCCUUGGUGGCCUGUGUUGAACCCUGCUUCGUUCGCCGCUUCCGCAGAUGGAAGGCAUGAGUUUGUGGCCUAUGUUUGUCUGCUGGCUCCUGGAAGGAUGCUUUGCCCAGCGACUGAACCAUGGACGGACGCCGCGCCGGCCAAGUGCCCAGCCAGUGGACAACUUCCUUUUCGGCCUCGAAGGUAUGGGUGGGCUAAUGGUAACGCAGGGUAGGCCCUCCAUUAACAACCAUGGCUUACAACAACGUCGGAUCGACCUCGAGCGUGUACAAACAUAGAUAUAGCUUGAACUAGAAAAUCUAAUUUGUGGUCUGCGUCCUCCUCCAACAUCACCCACACCAAAGGCGGUGCGCUGCCCCCUCUAUCUCCUUAGAUGUGAGCGAUUUUUCGAGUUAAUUUCGGUUUUAAACUCUGAUUUGUGUAUUGUAGGAAGCCUUUUUUUGGAUGAAAGGUAUAUGUUCCGUCUCCAUGCACCUCCCACUGGCAGCAAGUUGGUCAGUCUCUCACAUCCACAGUCCUCUGUAACUUAAGCACUGUCAGCAAGAAUGUGUCGAGAUAUGAUGGGCCGUUCUCAUAUCUCCCAUUCGGAUGAUUUUGAUUGCAAGCGCUAGAUGGUGAAAAAUUCCUAUUUUUCAGAUCUUGGAGUACUGUUUGUCCAUCUUGUAUAAUGCUUUGCCUUUCAUCGACGCCUCUGAAUAUUUGUGCAUGUCUCGCUGUGGCUCUGUGCUUGCUUACUAAUCAACCCAUCAGCCUUUUGAAUUUUUGAGGAGCCUGCUUUCAUGUAUCUUGCCAAAGUGACACCCGUGAAAGUUAUUUCUCUAUUUUUUUUAGUUAACUAUUUGGUGUAUUCUAGACAAUUCAUGUUUAAGGGGAAGCAUAACUUUAUAGAUUGAUGCUGCUUCUGAAAUGUUCUAUUUGUUAGUAGGUACUUCUCUCUGCAUUUACAGGUAAACAAAAAUAUCGGAGUAAGGGCUCACAACUGAUUUGACAAAAUCAAUAUCAGUUAUGUAGGCAUCAUGGAUGUGAUUCUAAAGUUACAGAAGUAUAUAGGAAGCCAGAUCAAUUUCUGAAUUACUAUAACCUUUUUUCUUAGAUAGACCUAGCAAUUCGGAUCCGAUGUACCAACUUGUGGAAUUAUUCUUUACAGUGAAGAGUUUGUUUAAGGAUAUUUAUCGUCUAUACUUUCUAUCUCUCAGUAAGGUCCCUGUAUGGUUUUGCCAGUUUCACAACUAGCCAGAUACGUGCUAGGAGGAAUGUCAAUUUUUAGCACGUCGUGAAGAUCUAGAACAACUUUUUUUUCUGACAUAAAAAGUAAUUUGUUGUGCAAAUUUUUGUUAGAAUCAAGAGUUCAGGAAGUAGAGAAUGAUUCAUAAUUAGUAGUGGCUAUCCGGGUCAGGAGUUCAGCUUAGAGUAGAGACUAGAGGAGGAUAGCUUGUAUUGGCGAUCACAAGAGCAAACUCUGGAGACUUGUUCCAAUUCAUAAAUGGGCUCUACUUGUUGUGCUAACAUAUGACUUAUAUUUGUGGUAUUUAUCAUAUAUUUGGUGACAAACAAGUUUCUAUUGAUUUCUGGUAGCUAAUACAAUGCCUGUUCCGCAUAAACGUCAACUCUUUUUUUUGUUAUCUGAAGCUGUAGGUCAAACACUUGCAAUUGCAGGUUGCUUUCUGUAUGUGCUUUCGACAGUGUUUUCAAUUUUUUUAAUGGGAACGAUUGUGGACGCCCUUUACUUUAUGUGCAGGCCACCAUCAUAAACCAUUACACAAAAUCGUCUUUCUUUAUCACCGAGAUAUUUACCCAAUUCAGUUAGACAGGGCAUCAAUCAUCUGAUUAAUUUGUACCAAUUCGAUUCAGCCAGUUCGACUGUAUUGGAUUAAUCUCUUUCAUGGUGGUUUGAAGAAAACCACCAAGUAGUGGAUUUUACACUGAAAAUGAACUCUUUUUUUGUGCUGGUACAACUCAUGCAUCAAGACAAUUUGGAAAACCCAAGUUUGAAUACCCGUAAUACAGGUUUUCUAGGCAGGCAUGCAGUUUUGCAGACUUUUGAUGUUGGUUCCCUUUGGGAAACACAUAUCAUGUGUUGAUAAAUUUAAGCUGGUUGGGACUUGUGGACUGGAAAACAAUUGUUACCCAUAGCCAGAAUACCCCUGAAGCUGUAUAAACUCUUCCAAUUAUGUGCUUAAUCCACCUUCAUUGUUGCCAGUUCUUUACUACUUUGUACACCAGUUUUUGCGAUAACCACAUUGACAGUAUCCUACCUUCUCAAUCUUAGGUGCCAGCCUUCUUGUGUAUCACCUAUUUAUGUACCCACCCAUCAUUAAAGUUAAAGUUAUUGGACCUAUCUAAUCUUGUAGGUUUGUAUGCGUGAAAUAUUGUGAUUGACCGUGCUGUGGGUCUGUAUGCCUGAAAUAUUGUGAUUGACCUUGUAGGUUUUGUGCAUAUCUGUUCUAUUUGCCUACCCCUAUAUGACGUACCUGUGAGGACCUGGAUUAUCGGUUGUUCUGAAUACUGCAUCAGUCAUAAAAAUUAAUCUGUGUGGGUACGUAUUCUUUGAUCCCAUUUUAAAAAUCCUUGUUGGCUAAAGUUUGAAGAUUGACCUAGUACAUAAUCAUAGAUCACAGUUAUGCUACUUAUUAGAAUCGGCAGUAGUGUUUGGCCACCGCUUAGGAGUUACAGUUUCCUCUUUUAUUUUGGACAAACUCGUUCUGUCUAUUGCAGUAACUAAAGUUAAUUUUAUGUGCUCUCCAUGGCUCAGGUUACCAUCAUCACGGGCAGUUUGAUCCUUGAAAACAAUGCCGUGGUAUGUAACCAAUAGGUUCAUCCUAAUGGGAAUGUGUUUUGUAAUAGAUAUCUGUUGCAAAUCUGCAACUGACUGGAAUGUACCAUAGCCUCACGACCAAAGAGGAAUGUCCUUCAAGGCAUUUGCCCCUGCAGGCACGGGCAUUGUGCAAGUACUGUAUAUACCGUCUUCCUCAUAGUUUCUGUGAAAAUAUCCAUGUGUUACAAGUAAAAAUAACUUUAAUAGCUCAGCUGCUACUUAAGCAACUACUCCCUCCGUCCCAAAAUAAGGUAAGUGUCUCAACCUUAUUUUGGGACGGAGGUAGGUAGUAUAUCUAAAUGAAAUGUUGCUGAAGCUGAAAAGUUAACACAGUUUUCACAAAUGCAGGUUGUGGGCGCAGAAACGCCAGAAUGCUUUCUUCUUUCCAGGUGAUGAGAUGAUGUUCUUUCUGCUGACUACUUGGAUCUGUCCUCACAUUCGAACCCUUCCUGGCCGUGCCAAAUUAUCUGUGAAAUGAUUGAUGUAUCCCAUAAUUUGAUUCAGCAGGCUAGUCAUCUUGGCUGAAAGUAUAUAUAUACGCUGGUCUAGUCACUAAAGUGCCUAGUCAAAAAUUGUUGAGAGGACACUCAAAGUGCCAAACUGAGCGCAGAGCUCACAUGCUCAGUUUAUCUAGGUGUUUGGUUACCUGUAAGAUUGGUUCUCAGACGCGUAUUUUAUGGUGUACUAGCAAA